rnacentral:pre_miRNA from 1 species
CAUGUACUCCCUCCGUCCCAAAAUUCUUGUCGUAGAUUUGUCUAGAAAUGAAUGUAUCUAAAUACUAAAAUGUGACUAUAUACAUUCAUAUCUAGACAAACCUAAGACAAGAAUUNNGGGACGGAGGGAGUACAUA